rnacentral:tRNA from 1 species
UGGGGUGUGGCUCAGUGGUAGAGCGUUAGCCCAGCCUGCGUGAGGCCCUGUGUUCCAUCCCCAGCACCACAC